CGCGCGUUGAACAUUCGACAAGCAUUUAAACUGGAGUGGAGAGUUACCAUGGAAACGGGGCGGCAAUUCAGCUGAUAAGUAGCAAAACCUUCCAUCUCUCACUGUUGUUUUUACUGCUUUCAGCAAAGUUGGAGCGGACCUCUUUUUGACUUCUCCAGGCACUAUUUACCAUCUGACUAUCCUGUAUGUCUUACAAGGCCAUCCUGUUUAACGCUGCAUUGAGGACACUACAACCAGAGAGGGCUGUUCGUGAACACAGAAAAUCGAGAGAUGUUGUGACAACCUGGACAGAAGUCAGCUCCAAAUCCAUUCUCAACACCAGACUUCUCAUUCACAAGGAUUCCUCUCUUAAAAACCAAUAAUUUUCAGAAAUCACUUUUUUUUUAUUGCGCCUUCCAAGUAAAAUCAAUCAAACUGCAGUAGGGUUGUAUUGAUUAAGAUUAAGAUUAUUCAGAUGACAAUGUAGAUGCCAGAAAAAGGUUGAUGUUGUUGUGAUCAUAGAUUGUAUGUGAUUACAGGCAAUACAGUACAUGGUUUUUCCCUCACCAUUGUAACACACUACUUUUGCAAGGUUCCGUGAAAAUGUUUCAGCUUUUAUUUUCCUUUUACACCCUGAAGAUAUCACAGGUUCAUCAACUUCAUCUAAAUUAUCCAUCCCCGAUCGCAUUUAGUCAACUUUGAAAAAUUCCUCUCAGCUAGCACGUCUUUUUAAAGUGAAAGUAGCUUUGUCACCUGACCUAAAUACAGUGUGCUGAUUCACUAAAACUGAUUUAUCGGCUUCUAAACAAAAAC
ensembl:lncRNA